AAGUCUAAUACCGAAGAUGCGGAUUGUAUGUUUACAUACAGUGGUAGGGGAGCGUUCUUAAUGGAAUGAAGCAUUACCGUAAGGAGAUGUGGACUAUUAAGAAGUGAGAAUCCUGGCAUGAGUAGCGAUAAAAGUGGUGAGAAUCCACUUCACCGUAAGCGUAAGGGUUCCUGGGCAAGGCUCGUCCUCCCAGGGUUAGUCGGGACCUAAGGCGAGGCCGAAAGGCGUAGUCGAUGGAAAACAGGUUAAUAUUCCUGUACCACCUGUUAGGAGUGAUGGGGUGACGGAGAAGGAUAGAUCAUCCGUGUUUUGGAUUACACGGUUCAAGCUCGUAGGAUUAAGAAAUUGGCAAAUCCGUUUCUUUUAUAGUCUGAGAAGUGAGUACGAGAGGCCCUAGGCCUCAUAAAGUGAUUGAUUCCAUGCUUCCUAGAAAAACCUCUAAAUUUUGAUUAACAGGUGCUCGUACUGUAAACGGACACACGUACGCGGGUAGAGUAUACCAAGGUGUUUGAGAUAAUUAUGGCCAAGGAACUCGGCAAAAUAGCUCCGUAACUUCGGGAUAAGGAGUGCCUAUAUUAAGUGAAGGAUCUUGCAUCUGGAGCUGAAAUAGGUGUCACUGAAAUGAUGGAAGCGACUGUUUACCAAAAACACAGGCCUGUGCUAACCCGCAAGGGGAUGUAUACGGGCUGACGCCUGCCCGGUGCUGGACGGUUAAGGGGAUGGGUUAUCCUUCGGGAGAAGCUUAGAACCGAAGCCCCAGUAAACGGCGGCCGUAACUAUAACGGUCCUAAGGUAGCGAAAUUCCUUGUCGUCUAAUUAGCGACCCGCAUGAAUGGCGUAACGACUUCUGUACUGUCUCGGCCAUAAUCUCAGCGAAAUUGUAGUGCUGGUGAAGAUGCCAGCUUCCCGUUGUGGGACGGAAAGACCCCGUGCACCUUUACUAUAACCUAGCACUGGAUUUUGAUGUUAAAUGCGUAGGAUAGGUGGGAGACUAUGAAAGUUCAAUUUUGGUUGGGCUGGAGUCGUUGGUGAAAUACCACCCUUUUGAUGUUAGGAUUCUAACUUUAAUCCGUUAUCCGGAUUGAGGACAAUGUUAGGCGGGUAGUUUGACUGGGGCGGUUGACUCCUAAAGAGUAACGGAGUCGCUCAAAGGUUCUCUCAGCCUGAUUGGAAACCAGGCGUCGAGUGUAAUGGCACAAGAGAGCUUGACUGUGAGAUUGACAAAUCGAGCAGGUACGAAAGUAGGACAUAGUGACCCGGUGGCUUCCAAGUGGGAGGGCCAUCGAUCAUCGGAUAAAAGGUACGCCGGGGAUAACAGAUUAAUCGCGCCCAAGAGUUCACAUCGACGGCGCGGAUUGAUACCUCGAUGUCGGCUCAUCGCAUCCCGGGGCUGUAGAAGGUCCCAAGGGUUGAGCUGUUCGCUCAUUAAAGCGGUACGCGAGCUGGGUUCAGAACGUCGUGAGACAGUUCGGUCCCUAUCUACAACGGGCGAAGGAGAAUUGAGAGGGGUUGCUCAUAGUACGAGAGGACCUGAGUGAACAAACCUCUAGUGUACCAGUUGUGGUGCCAACUGCAUUGCUGGGUAGCUACGUUUGGAAAGGAUAACCGCUGAAAGCAUCUUAAGUGGGAAACCUGCCUCAAGAUUAUUUCUCCCGAACCAUUAGGUUCCUUAAGACCACUCGAAGACUACGAGUUUGAUAGGCACAGUGUGUAAGUUUCGUAAGAAAUUCAGCUAAUGUGUACUAAUCGGUCGUGAGCCUUAAUUAC
rnacentral:rRNA from 1 species